UACGUAGGGUGCGAGCGUUGUCCGGAAUUAUUGGGCGUAAAGAGCUCGUAGGCGGUGUGUCGCGUCGGCCGUGAAAACCUGCAGCUUAACUGUGGGCUUGCGGUCGAUACGGGCAUCACUGGAGUUCGGCAGGGGAGACUGGAAUUCCUGGUGUAGCGGUGAAAUGCGCAGAUAUCAGGAGGAACACCGGUAGCGAAGGCGGGUCUCUGGGCCGAUACUGACGCUGAGGAGCGAAAGCGUGGGGAGCGAACAGG
rnacentral:rRNA from 1 species